AUAUCAAAGAUUCCAACACGUACCAGAGUACUAAGCUUUGCUAGUUCCUUUGCAAGAAUGCAAAGCACUGUUUCAGUGAUUUCAGAGACCCACUAGGUGUAAAGCAGCGAGCUUUGAUACUUCUUCAUCACUAAGCCACGUGCCUACUUCAACAGGCGUCAUUGCUUGAGUUCAGUUCUAGACUUCUAGAUUGGUUCAGAACUAAUCUAACUGAGAAAAGCUUUGGAAUUUAGACUCAACUUUCAUGGAGAUCUCUCUGGAAUUGUCAAUGUUGGGUUUUUCGUAGUGUUAUUGACGUGGGUUUUCCUAGAUACACUGAGAAGAAGAAGAGAUGGUGUACUGAAAAUGAGACAUAUUUGAGAGACAGAGCAAGCAGAGGAUGUAAAGGUUUUGCUUUGUUUUUCUCCCCCACUUAGGUUCAUCCCCUCUCCCCCACUAUAGUCAAAUCUACAUCUUCCCACAUUUUGACAUCCUGGUCCAAAGCACAAGCCUCCAAAACAUUCUCAUAAUAACCCUCAAUCAUCUCCUUGCCAAACAACACAUUCUCCAUUACAGUUGCAGUUUGAAUCCAAGAACUUUGUGGAACAUAAGCUUUUGUCCCAUAAACCUUUGCUCCUACCCCAGAAAUUUUGGGAAUCUCCCCAAGUAUACCACUCAGUAAGCUUGACUUGCCCAAACCAACAGAACCGCAAAUUGCUACCUUGUAUCCUUUCAUUAUCUCUAUCUUCUCCACAAUCUCCUGUCUCAAUUACAAUCAUGACGUUGGAUUCUUUUGAAGUAUGACCAGGAAUUAGCUUCAAUUGAUCUUCUUUGAUGAACUCUUUGAUACGAUCAACUGAUACCUUUGUUUGAGCAAUCAUGGAAAUGAGCUCUGGGAGGUUGUAGAUGGGCUCUUGAAGAAUUCUAAAAGUAGCCAAAGCAGACAAGACAGUUCCUGUGUUUUAAACGACUUUGUUUUAGGUUGUUUGAGGUUUAAAGCCCCUCCUAGGUCGCGACUUGCAGCAGACAAGAGCUGGGCUCUCCAUUUCAGUACCCGAACUUCCAGAAGGCAGCAAGAUCAUACAAAUCUCUUCGAACCCAUGAGUUUUCUGAAUGAUUUGGCUUUAACGGAGACUACUUUCGCACUUGGAGUUCUAGUGUUGGAGACUUGGAGUUCGAUUCGCAGGAAUGUUUGGAGAUUUGAAGGAAAUACUAAAUCUUAGAACCCAUUCAUCUGAAGAUUAGUGAUCAUCAUAAGACCAAACGUGAUGCGUAUUUGAAUCAGGGAGUUGAAAAGACCGAGGCUGAAAUGAACUGUUGUAUUAAGGUGCUUGGAGCUUUUUGGUAUUUAUUUUCCAUAGAAAGGAAAACAAUUUGUUGGGUAGAAGUAUGUAAAAAUCAAGGUGUUGCUUGUUCUUUGUAUUGCGAUGACACCAUGGUACUUAGAGCA